rnacentral:rRNA from 1 species
CUACGGGAGGCAGUAGUAGGGAAUCUUCCGCAAUGGACGAAAGUCUGACGGAGCAACGCCGCGUGAGUGAUGAAGGUUUUGGGAUCGUAAAACUCUGUUGUUAGGGAAGAACAAGUACGAGAGUAACUGCUCGUACCUUGACGGUACCUAACCAGAAAGCCACGGCUAACUACGUGCCAGCAGCCGCGGUAAUACGUAGGUGGCAAGCGUUGUCCGGAAUUAUUGGGCGUAAAGCGCGCGCAGGCGGUCCUUUAAGUCUGAUGUGAAAGCCCACGGCUCAACCGUGGAGGGUCAUUGGAAACUGGGGGACUUGAGUGCAGGAGAGAAGAGUGGAAUUCCACGUGUAGCGGUGAAAUGCGUAGAGAUGUGGAGGAACACCAGUGGCGAAGGCGACUCUUUGGCCUGUAACUGACGCUGAGGCGCGAAAGCGUGGGGAGCAAACAGGAUUAGAUACCCUGGUAGUCCACGCCGUAAACGAUGAGUGCUAAGUGUUAGAGGGUUUCCGCCCUUUAGUGCUGCAGUAAACGCAUUAAGCACUCCGCCUGGGGAGUACGGCCGCAAGGCUGAAACUCAAAGGAAUUGACG